GACGAACGCUGGCGGCGUGCUUAACACAUGCAAGUCGAACGGAAAGGCCCUGCUUUUGUGGGGUGCUCGAGUGGCGAACGGGUGAGUAACACGUGAGUAACCUGCCCUUGACUUUGGGAUAACUUCAGGAAACUGGGGCUAAUACCGGAUAGGAGCUCCUGCUGCAUGGUGGGGGUUGGAAAGUUUCGGCGGUUGGGGAUGGACUCGCGGCUUAUCAGCUUGUUGGUGGGGUAGUGGCUUACCAAGGCUUUGACGGGUAGCCGGCCUGAGAGGGUGACCGGCGACCAUGGGACUAAGAUACGGCCCAGACUCCUACGGGAGGCAGCAGUGGGGAAUAUUGCACAAUGGGCGGAAGCCUGAUGCAGCAACGCCGCGUGCGGGAUGACGGCCUUCGGGUUGUAAACAGCUUCCGCCUGUGACGAAGCGUGAGUGACGGUAAUGGGUAAAGAAGCACCGGCUAACUACGUG
rnacentral:rRNA from 1 species